rnacentral:rRNA from 1 species
GAUGAACGCUGGCGGCGUGCCUAAUACAUGCAAGUCGAGCGAACAGACGAGGAGCUUGCUCCUCUGACGUUAGCGGCGGACGGGUGAGUAACACGUGGAUAACCUACCUAUAAGACUGGGAUAACUUCGGGAAACCGGAGCUAAUACCGGAUAAUAUAUUGAACCGCAUGGUUCAAUAGUGAAAGACGGUUUUGCUGUCACUUAUAGAUGGAUCCGCGCCGCAUUAGCUAGUUGGUAAGGUAACGGCUUACCAAGGCAACGAUGCGUAGCCGACCUGAGAGGGUGAUCGGCCACACUGGAACUGAGACACGGUCCAGACUCCUACGGGAGGCAGCAGUAGAGAAUCUUCCGCAAUGGGCGAAAGCCUGACGGAGCAACGCCGCGUGAGUGAUGAAGGUCUUCGGAUCGUAAAACCCUGUUAUUAGGGAAGAACAAAUGUGUAAGUAACUAUGCACGUCUUGACGGUACCUAAUCAGAAAGCCACGGCUAACUACGUG